UUGGCGACCGGCGCACGGGUGCGUAACGCGUAUGCAACCUGCCGAUGACUCGGGGAUAGCCUUUCGAAAGAAAGAUUAAUACCCGAUGGCAUAGUUCUUCCGCAUGGUAGAACUAUUAAAGAAUUUCGGUCAUCGAUGGGGAUGCGUUCCAUUAGGUUGUUGGCGGGGUAACGGCCCACCAAGCCUUCGAUGGAUAGGGGUUCUGAGAGGAAGGUCCCCCACAUUGGAACUGAGACACGGUCCAA
rnacentral:rRNA from 1 species